rnacentral:rRNA from 1 species
UACAGAGGUCUCAAGCGUUGUUCGGAAUCACUGGGCGUAAAGGGUGCGUAGGUGGCGGGGAAAGUCAGAUGUGAAAUCCGGAGGCUCAACCUCCGAAUUGCAUCCGAUACUCCCUCGCUAGAGAUUUGUAGAGGAGCUUGGAAUUCUCGGUGUAGCAGUGAAAUGCGUAGAUAUCGAGAAGAACGCUCGCAGCGAAGGCGAAGCUCUGGGCAAUUUCUGACACUGAUGCACGAAGGCUAGGGGAGCAAACGGG